rnacentral:rRNA from 1 species
AUACAGAGGGUGCAAACGUUGUUCGGAAUCACUGGGCUUAAAGCGCGCGUAGGCGGCGACAUCAGUGUCUUGUGAAAGCCCCCGGCUCAACCGGGGAACUGCAGGGCAUACUGUGUUGCUAGAGUACGAGAGGGGAGAGGAGAACUCCUGGUGGAGCGGUGGAAUGCGUAGAUCUCAGGAGGAAUGCUGAAGGUGAAGACACCUCUCUGGCUCGUAACUGACGCUACGGCGCGAAAGCUAGGGUAGCGAACGGGAUUAGAAACCCCUGUAGUCC